AGCGAACGCUGGCGGCAGGCCUAACACAUGCAAGUCGAACGCAUCCUUCGGGGUGAGUGGCAGACGGGUGAGUAACACGUGGGAACGUACCUUUUGGUUCGGAACAACUGAGGGAAACUUCAGCUAAUACCGGAUACGCCCUAAUGGGGAAAGAUUUAUCGCCGAAAGAUCGGCCCGCGUCUGAUUAGCUAGUUGGUGAGGUAAUGGCUCACCAAGGCGACGGGCAGUAGCUGGUCUGCGAGGAUGAGCAGCCACACUGGGGCUGAGACACGGCCCAGACUCCUACGGGAGGCAGAAGUGGGGAAUAUUGGACAACGGGUGCAACGCUGAUCCAGACAGGCCGCGUGAGUGAUGAAGGCCUUAGGGUUGUAAAGCUCUUUUAUCCGGGACGAUAAUGACGGUACCGGAAGGAUAAGCCCCGGCUAACUUCGUGCCAGCCGCCGCCGUAAAAC
rnacentral:rRNA from 1 species